GCGAACUCGAUAUGUGAAGCGGUGAGGUACCCAGCAGAGCAGACACUAUGUCCCACUUUGAUUGUUCAGGGAUGGACGACCGAAUAAGUAUAGUCUCGUGCCCCCAACAUGAUAACAAGUGAAAGGGAGAAAGAAGCAAAGGAUCGUCAAAUGUGUUGGCAUCGACACAACUAUUGAACUUUUUGGGGGGUAGGCGGAGUUUCACGCGCACUUCCGACGUUGUUUAGAUGCGAUCAACGCCCGGAGGAAUAAAACUAGUUUUUGUUUUUUUUCUAAUUUAGUGGGAGGGAUUUUUUUCUUCAAUGUUUUCUCAAAAAUUCAAUGAUUUUGUCACAUUUAACCGUGUUUAGCCCGAAAGCGGAUGUGUGACUAUUCGCUUUCCUGAAACGUUGGAAUGUCGUUACGAUGUUUGGCACUUUCUCCUCCAACCUGAGGGUAAAGUUUUCCUUUUUUUUCUUUUCUUUCUUUUGGGUUUUCGAUGUAGUUUUUGAAGAGGUGCGCAGAAAAAAAUAAAAUAAAGGACAUUGGAAUUUGAGACGGCCCACUGCAUGUGUCGGACAACAUUAGAAAGUGGAAGUUUGUGCUUGAGUUAUCGCUGGAUGGACACUCUAUUGCAUUUCAAAAUGAAAAUAGUUUUGGAUGCUAUAUCAUCAAGUAGUUGUCUUUAACGGCAUUUUUUUCCUUCUCAUUUUCGCAAACUAUGCAAAUCAAAGUCGGCAAAAUGCCAGACGUUGCGCUGUUUCUUUUUUGUUGUUUCCAACUUGUUUUAAUCACCUCAAUUAAAAAUGCGCAUUUUUGAUGAACUAUACACUCCGGACUUGCGUUAUAAUAAAAGAAACAUGCGUGUG